rnacentral:lncRNA from 1 species
UAUGGGAGUUCUCAGGCCAGGGACAGAUUCUGAGCCACAGCUGCAACCUAUACCACAGCUGCGGCAAUGAGAGAGGCUUUAACCCACUGUGUCAGGCCAGGGAUCAAAUGCAUGCCCCCCCAGUGACCCAAUUCACAGUGUUUUUUUUUUUUUUUUUUUAUAAGCAUUAUUAACUAAUAUAGUGGGUAGCAAAUUGCUAGGGUACUUAGAUACCAUUUAAUUAUGAAAAAGAGUGACUUAUGAGGAGUUCCUGAUGUAGCUCAGAAGUAACAAACCCUACAAGUAUCCAUGAGGAUGUGGAUCUGAUCCCUGGCCAUGCUCAGGGGACUAAGGAUCUGGCAUUGCUGUGAGCUGUGGUAUAGUUUGCAGAUGCAGCUCGGAUCCUGGGUUGAUGUGGCUGUGACAUAGGCCUGCACUGCAGCUCUGAUUUGACCUCUAGCCUGGGAACUUCCAUAUGCUGCAUAUGCAGCCCUAAAAAGAAAAAAAAAUAAAAAUUAAAAUAAAAUAAAAAGAGUGAAGUAAGGGGUUUAUUGUAAAAAGUCCAAUAUUUACAAUAUGACUUAGUUCCAAAAAUUAUAUCUUUGGAACUCUUUAAACUUAUUGAAAAAAUUUUAGAUGUCAGUAGAAAUAUGAGUAAUUAAAAUUUUUAAUCUGGGGGAUAUUUGAGUUGAAAAUAUGAAGACCACUUCUCUGAGGCUGAACAGUUAUUCUUCAGUGUACAUCUGUGAUAAAGCCCAGAUGAUAUUACAUAGUUUAAGAAUUUGUCUUAGACACUUUCAACAAAUCCGAAACACCUACUCUGGGAUAAACAAUUAUAAAUCAUUUUAUCUAUUUAUCAAAGUUUUUUUUUUCUUUUUUCUGCUGAACUUCUGUUUGAAAAUACUUCAUCAGCCUCUUCUUACAUAGGAGUAAUAAAAUUAAAUACCUUAAAAAUAGCUGGUUCUACAGACUAGUAACAAAUUCUUUCUGAAUUUCAGUUAACAUUUUAUUGAAUAUAAGUUGUUCUUACUUUUCUUUUUCUUAUUUCUAAAGUCAAUAAUUCUGGACAUUUAAAAUCUCAGAAGGAAAAAAGUCAUUAAAAAGUUUAAAACUCUUCAAGAAUUUUUUAGACUUUUGAGAGAAAAUAUAUUUUAAACAGACUUUUAAAAUCUUCAAAUAGGAGUUACAAUGUAUGAUUCCAACGGACCAAAAUGUCAGCAUAUUUUCACUGUUUAAGAAAUUUGGGAAAUAAUUACGUUGCAAGAGUAAAUUAAUUUUUCUCAUGAUAUAAUCAGACAAUUUUCCAUGUGCCUCAAAUGUGUUUGGUUCCUUAUCAAAACAUGUUGAAACCUGCAUUGUUUUGCUGUUAUAAUGAUUUUAAAGAUUUUUUUUUUUUUUGCAGCUAUGUACAAAAUUUUAAUUUCAAAGUAAAUUAAUGGCAUAGUUCCUGCUGUGGCAUAGUCAGUUAAGAAUCUGACUGUUGUAGCUUGGGUUGCUGGGGUGGCAUGGGUUUGAUCCCCUGCCCUGAGGUGGCACUGGUUCGAUUCUUUAACAGUGGGUUAAAUGAUCUGGAAAUGCUGCAGCUGCAACAUAGGUCACAGUUGCAGCUCAGAUUCAAUCCCUGGCCUGGGGAUUGGAAACUUCCAUACCCCAUCACUGCAGUCAUUUAAAUUAAAAAAAAAUAAUAACUUAAUGGCUGUGUAAAUAUAUAUUUAAUAUAAUCAAUAAUUCAAUGACUACAUUUAGCUAUUUUGACUACUGAUUUUCUCAGUAAUACUGACUACCAAGUCUUUUCUAUUAGAAGUGGUCCAUUAUGGACACAGCUGAAUAAUCUUAACCACUGAAUCAAAAAUAAAAGAUUUUUUUUCCUCAAUUAAAUAAUUGAGGCAGGAGUUUCCCUUGUGGUGCAGUGGUAACAAAUCUGACUAGUAUAUUGGAUUAUCAAACCGUGAUAAUGUCAAUGACUGAAUGACAGGAGCAGAUGAUGUCAGUGGUUGGGGAUCCCAGGCAGGACAGAGCAGGAUGGGGCAAGACUUCAUCAUGCUGGAGUUCCUGUUGUGGCUCAGUGUGGUAACAAAUCCAACAAGUAUCCAUGAAGAUAUGGGGUCAAUCCCUGGCCUCACUUAGUGGGUUAAGAAUCUGGCAUUGCCAUGAGCUGUGGUAUAGGUCACAGAUGCGGCUUGGAUCUGGCAUUCCUGCGGCUGUGGUGCAGGCCGGCAGCUACAGCUCUGAUUCAACCACUAGCUUGGGAACUUGUGUAGGUGCAGCAGCCCUAAAAAAAGUAGGCAGAUAGAUAGAUAGAUAGAUAGAUAGAUAGAUAGAUAGAUAGAUAGAUAGAUAGGUGAUGGAGGCAAAAACAACACAACUGGCCUGAUUUAUCCAAACUAGGGAUUUUUGGUAGAUUGAACCAUUGACUAUCAACUCUCCACUGAACUCUAUCAUAGUUGGGAAUGAUGUGCUAUGCUAGCCAAAUUUCCCUGAAGGACUGACUAACGUUGCCCUGCCUCCUGAGAAGGUUGGCCAUUGACAACUGACUGUCAGCCCUUUCUGUGAAUUGCCCUCUGCUGAAAAGUGAGUUGACUGGUCCGAAGUCGUGACUUGCUCCCAGGGCUGCACCCAUCUAAGGAUUGCUCAUGCAGGGUCACAAAGCCUUCUCUCUCUCACCACAGCAAGGGACACUCUGAAGGGCUAACUGAGCUUCAGAGCCUUGUGUAAUUAGCUGAGGCCUCUAUGUCCUGAGUUAUAUUCCCACUUUUCCCUCCACUCAAUCCUGCUUCCUUCUACCUACCCCACCCCCCCACAGGUGUUGAAUCCCAGACAACUUCGUAAUAAACUUACUCCUAAUAAAUUUUCCCCUUCAGAAUCUUCUUCUAUUGUGAAACUAACCUGUAGCAAUCACCAAUUAAAACUUGAAUAAAUAUAUGUGCAGUAUAGCUGCUACUGUUGUCUAGAACUAAGAAUUUAAUUAGGGGAUUACUUUCAUUUGCAUAGCUUUUCCAAAGCCCAUUCUUAUUUGAUGUAUCAGUUGAGGCUUCCGAUAAUUCUGUAAGGUGACUGAGGUAAAGAUUACUAUCCACAUUUCACAGCUUUGUAAACCGAGACUUGGCAAGAAAUGGCUACUCGGUUACAUACAGAAGUUAUUAUUCAUGUUUUCUUUGAGUUUGCUUCAUUGCCUAUAACACCACGUCUUUAAAGAUUCCUAUUCACAAUUGCUAUAAAACUCCAUCUAGAAGUUUUCAUUAUAUUGCCCAGCUCAAGAAUAGGUAGUAAGUGCCUAGUCAUCCUGGAAGUAUGAAAUUCAGUACCAUAAACAUAUUCAGAUUUUUUCAAGCUCUCAUCCUCAAACUGCAUUGCCCACACACACAUUGCUCACACACACAUACAUUCUUUCCUUUUGUCCUUUCAACAUAUGUUCUUCAAGCACCUGCUAUAAAUGAGACAUAAUAUUUCUUGAGAACUCACUAUGUGCCAGGCAUUACAGUAAAUGCUUUUUGUUUAUUAUCUCCAUGAAACCCUGUAAAACUGUAUGUUGUUAUUUCUAUAAUUUCCAUUAUGCAGGUGAGGAAACUGAUGCUUAGGGAGUUGAAAUAAUUUUCUCAAGGCUGAAAAACUCAGGUUGUCCCAGUUUUAAAAUCCAUACUCUUCACCUCUGCAACUAGACCUCUCUGAUAAAUGAAGAAGGUAGAGGGGUGAAUGAGACAUGGUUCCUACCCUCAAGAGUUUACUAUCUAGUAUGGGAAGACACUAUAACACUUGAUUAUGUUUUUAUAACAGCUUUAUUUAGAUAUAAUUCAUAUAUAACUCACCCAUUUAAAUUGUGCAAUUCCAUACCCUUAGCAAUGAUUACUCAUUUUUCCCACUCCUAACCCCAGUCCUAGACAACAAUAAAUCAACUUUCUGUUUCUGUAUAUUUACCUAUUCUGGACAUUCCAAAUACAUGGAAUCAUACACUAUGUGGUCUUCUAUAACUGGCUUCUUUCAUUUAACCGAUUUUUUUCAAGGUAAACCCAUGUUGUAUCAUCUAUCAGUACUCUAAUUAUGGGUGAAUAUUAUUCUAUUGUAGAGAUAUGCCACACUUUGUUUAGUUACCCAAUCAUCAGUUGAUGGCCAUUUGAGUCACUUCCAAAUUUUGACUAUUAAGCAUAUUGCUACCAUGAAGAUUCAUGUAUAAAAAUUUUAUGUAGAAGAGUUCCCGUCGUGGUGCAGUGGUUAACAAAUCCGGCUAGGAACCAUGAGGUUGCGGGUUAGAUCCCUGGCCUUGCCCAGUGGGUUAAGGAUCUGGCAUUGCCAUGAGCUGUGGUGUAGGUUGCAGCCUCAGCUCGGAUCCCGCGUUGCUGUGGCUCUGGCAUAGGCCGGUGGCUACAGCUCCGAUUAGACCCCUAGCCUGGGAACCUCUAUAUGCUGCGGGAAGCGGCCCUAGAAAAGGCAAAAAGGCAAAAAGACAAAAAACAAAAAAAAAAAAAAAAAACAUUCUCAUGGAUAUGUGUUCUAAUUUCUUUCAGGUUUAUACCCAAGGAGAAUUGAGAAUUGCUGAGUCAUAUGGGAAUUCUAGAGCUAUUUAACCUUUUAGGGAACUCUCAGCCUGUUUUCCAAAAUGUACCAUUUUACAUUCUCACCAGCAGUGUUUAAGGAUUCCAAUUUCUCCACAUUAUCCCCAACACUUGUUAUUAUAUUCCUAUUUCACUAUAGUCACAUUGCUGGAAUGAAGUGGCAUCUCACUGUGGUUUAUUUGCAUUUUCGCUACGUUUUUGUUUUUUUGCUCUUUAGUGCCACACCCGUGGCUUAUGGAAGUUCCCGGCCUACAUCAUAGCCACAGCAAUGCAGGAUCCAAGCUGUCUCUGCAACCUACACCACAGCUCAUGGCAACACUGGAUCCCUCACCCACUGAUGGAGGCUAGGGAUCAAACCUUCAUCUUCACAGAUACUAGCUGGAUUCAUUUCCACUGUGCUACAAUGGGAACUCCUCAAGUAGAUUUUUUUGAAUAGCUGUUUCUUCCUUUAAUAUAUUCCCUUAGGACAAUUUCCAGAGACAUUAAAUGCUUUUUUUUUUAAAUAUAAUUUUCACCAGUUGUGAGUGCACCAGUGGGAAAUGGUCUCCAAUAAUUCUUCCUGCCUCUUUCCCAGAAGUGGAACUCUCCCUUGAUUACAUUUUCAAUGUAAGUAGUUAAGAGCAGGAAGUGUUAGGGGUCAAUCAAACAGAA